GACGAACGCUGGCGGCGUGCUUAACACAUGCAAGUCGAACGAUGAAGCCGGAGCUUGCUCUGGUGAAUUAGUGGCGAACGGGUGAGUAACACGUGAGUAACCUGCCCUUGACUCUGGGAUAACUGCGGGAAACUGUAGCUAAUACCGGAUACGACCCUCGGAGGCAUCUCCUGGGGGUGGAAAGAAUUUCGGUCAAGGAUGGACUCGCGGCCUAUCGGCUAGUUGGUGAGGUAGAGGCUCACCAAGGCGACGACGGGUAGCCGGCCUGAGAGGGUAACCGGCCACACUGGGACUGAGACACGGCCCAGACUCCUACGGGAGGCAGCAGUGGGGAAUAUUGCACAAUGGGCGCAAGCCUGAUGCAGCAACGCCGCGUGAGGGAUGACGGCCUUCGGGUUGUAAACCUCUUUUAGCAGGGAAGAAGCGAAAGUGACGGUACCUGCAGAAAAAGCACCGGCUAACUACGUGCCAGCAGCCGCCGUAA
rnacentral:rRNA from 1 species